CACCAUUCCCUUUGCUCUCUUUCUAAAACAAAAUCACUGUCCUUUCUUAACAACCAUCAUCGGUCAUUGUGCAACCACUAAGGGCUACCAUUCAAAAGGAAGUUGCUGUUACCCAUUUUGUGAAGUAAUCAAUGGCCACCAAUAUAAACUGAUGUCUGUUAGAAGCUUUUGGAGUAAUAAACCCAAUCAUAUCCGUCCUCUACAUUGAAAAAGGCCAAAUUGUCGUGAAAACAUGUAAUGAAGCUAGUGGAGCGUGGAUUUUAUCUACAAAAAUUUGACAUUUAUGGCAUUUUCGAGAAAUAUUUAUGGAAUCCGUUUCCAAUGUCAACCAAUAGUAUUCACCUCUCAUAAUUUGUCUAUCCAAUAUAUAUCCAUUAGUAUGAUCUCCACAGGUCCCCUCGUGGACUUUUUUCAUUAUUUUGUUGGCUUCGACAGCAUCCACACAUCCUAGGAGCACUUGGUCUCAACCUUUUUUGUAAAGUAUCUCUCCAUUGAGGAAUAAACCCAUUGUUAAUUUUCGAA